UUGGUCAUUUAGAGGAAGUAAAAGUCGUAACAAGGUUUCCGUAGGUGAACCUGCGGAAGGAUCAUUACUGAUUUGCUUAAUUGCACCACAUGUGUUUUUCUUUGAAACAAACUUGCUUUGGCGGUGGGCCCAGCCUGCCGCCAGAGGUCUAAACUUACAACCAAUUUUUUAUCAACUUGUCACACCAGAUUAUUACUAAUAGUCAAAACUUUCAACAAUGGACCUCUUGGUUCUCGCAUCGAUGAAGAACGCAGCGAAAUGCGAUACGUAAUAUGAAUUGCAGAUAUUCGUGAAUCAUCGAAUCUUUGAACGCACAUUGCGCCCUCUGGUAUUCCGGAGGGCAUGCCUGUUUGAGCGUCGUUUCUCCCUCAAACCGCUGGGUUUGGUGUUGAGCAAUACGACUUGGGUUUGCUUGAAAGACGGUAGUGGUAAGGCGGGAUCGCUUUGACAAUGGCUUAGGUCUAACCAAAAACAUUGCUUGCGGCGGUAACGUCCACCACGUAUAUCUUCAAACUUUGACCUCAAAUCAGGUAGGACUACCCGCUGAACUUAAGCAUAUCAAUAAGCGGAGGAAAUCGAA
rnacentral:rRNA from 1 species